rnacentral:tRNA from 1 species
UCAGGCGUAGGCAGGCGGGGCAACUGUUUUGUAAACAGUAGGUCGUCGGUUCAAAUCCGACCGUCGGCUCCA